GCAAAGGUAGCAUAAUCAUUAGUCUUUUAAUUGAAGGCUGGUAUGAAUGGUUGGACGAGAUAUUAACUGUUUCAUUUAAAUUUAUAGUAGAAUUUUAUUUUUUAGUCAAAAAGCUAAAAUUUAAUUAAAAGACGAGAAGACCCUAUAAAUCUUUAUAUAUAAAUUAUUAGAAUUUUUUAGAUUUAUUUUAUUAUAAUAAUUAAUUAUAUUUUAUUGGGGUGAUAUUAAAAUUUAAUAAACUUUUAAUUUAAAUGAGUCAUUAAUUUAUGAAUAAUUGAUCCGUUAAUAACGAUUAAAAAAAUAAGUUACUUUAGGGAUAACAGCGUAAUUUUUUUGGAGAGUUCAUAUCGAUAAGAAAGAUUGCGACCU
rnacentral:rRNA from 1 species